GCACCCGUAGCUCAGCUGGAUAGAGCGCUGCCCUCCGAAGGCAGAGGCCACAGGUUCGAAUCCUGUCGGGUGCGUCA
rnacentral:tRNA from 1 species